GUCGGGAGGUCCGAUCCACUCCUCGGGGUACCGGGCGUCGGGAGGUCCAGUCCACUCCUCGGGGUACCGGGCGUCGGGAGGUCCGGUCCACUCCUCGGGGUACCGGGCGUCGGGAGGUCCGGUCCACUCCUCGGGGUACCGGGCGUCGGGAGGUCCGGUCCACUCCUCGGGGUACCGGGCGUCGGGAGGUCCGGUCCACUCCUCGGGGUACCGGGCGUCGGGAGGUCCAGUCCACUCCUCGGGGUACCGGGCGUCGGGAGGUCCGGUCCACUCCUCGGGGUACCGGGCGUCGGGAGGUCCGGUCCACUCCUCGGGGUACCGGGCGUCGGGAGGUCCGGUCCACUCCUCGGGGUACCGGGCGUCGGGAGGUCCGGUCCACUCCUCGGGGUACCGGGCGUCGGGAGGUCCGGUCCACUCCUCGGGGUACCGGGCGUCGGGAGGUCCGGUCCACUCCUCGGGGUACCGGGCGUCGGGAGGUCCAGACAGCUCCUCCACAGUCCGAGUGUCGGACCGCUCAGUCGGCUCCUC